rnacentral:misc_RNA from 1 species
CUGGCUUCCUUCAGUGGCGGUCUGCUCCCUUUAAAUGCAUUAGUGGGAUCCUUUGUGGAUCGGUUCACUUGGUGUGAUAAUAUAUCUACGCCGCUUGUACUGCGAAGCAAAACUUAUGGGAACCUGCUUAUAACCGUCUAGCAAUAGACAACUUUUGAACCUUUAACCUCAAAUCAGGUAGGACUACCCGCUGAACUUAA